rnacentral:tRNA from 1 species
GUUUAUGUAGUUUAAUAAAACAUUACAUUUUCAAUGUAAAGAUAAAAUAACUAUUUUCAUAAAUA